ACUCCUACGGGAGGCAGCAGUGGGGAAUAUUGCACAAUGGGCGCAAGCCUGAUGCAGCCAUGCCGCGUGUGUGAAGAAGGCCUUCGGGUUGUAAAGCACUUUCAGUUGUGAGGAAGGUGGUGUCGUUAAUAGCGGCAUCAUUUGACGUUAGCAACAGAAGAAGCACCGGCUAACUCCGUGCCAGCAGCCGCGGUAAUACGGAGGGUGCGAGCGUUAAUCGGAAUUACUGGGCGUAAAGCGCAUGCAGGUGGUUUGUUAAGUCAGAUGUGAAAGCCCGGGGCUCAACCUCGGAACUGCAUUUGAAACUGGCAGACUAGAGUACUGUAGAGGGGGGUAGAAUUUCAGGUGUAGCGGUGAAAUGCGUAGAGAUCUGAAGGAAUACCGGUGGCGAAGGCGGCCCCCUGGACAGAUACUGACACUCAGAU
rnacentral:rRNA from 1 species